rnacentral:rRNA from 1 species
UACGGAGGGUGCAAGCGUUGUCCGGAAUCACUGGGCGUAAAGCGCGUGUAGGCGGCCCGAUAAGUACGCUGUGAAAGUCCAGGGCUCAACCCUGGGAUGCCGGUGGAUACUGUCGGGCUCGAGUCCGGAAGAGGCGAGUGGAAUUCCUGGUGUAGCGGUGAAAUGCGCAGAUAUCAGGAGGAACACCAAUUGCGAAGGCAGCUCGCUGGGACGUUACUGACGCUGAGACGCGAAAGCGUGGGGAGCAAACAGG